GACGAACGCUGGCGGCGUGCUUAACACAUGCAAGUCGAACGGUAAGGCCCUUCGGGGUACACGAGUGGCGAACGGGUGAGUAACACGUGGGUGAUCUGCCCUGCACUUCGGGAUAAGCCUGGGAAACUGGGUCUAAUACCGGAUAGGACUCCGGACUGCAUGGUCUGGGGUGGAAAGCUUUUGCGGUGUGGGAUGGGCCCGCGGCCUAUCAGCUUGUCGGUGGGGUGAUGGCCUACCAAGGCGACGACGGGUAGCCGGCCUGAGAGGGGGACCGGCCACACUGGGACUGAGAUACGGCCCAGACUCCUACGGGAGGCAGCAGUGGGGAAUAUUGCACAAUGGGCGCAAGCCUGAUGCAGCGACGCCGCGUGAGGGAUGACGGCCUUCGGGUUGUAAACCUCUUUCAGCAUCGACGAAGCGAAAGUGACGGUAGGUGCAGAAGAAGGACCGGCCAACUACGUGCCAGCCGCCGCAGUAA
rnacentral:rRNA from 1 species